UACGGGGGGGGGCAAGCGUUGUUCGGAAUUACUGGGCGUAAAGGGCUCGUAGGCGGCCAACUAAGUCAGACGUGAAAUCCCUCGGCUUAACCGGGGAACUGCAUCUGAUACUGGAUGGCUUGAGUUCGGGAGAGGGAUGCGGAAUUCCAGGUGUAGCGGUGAAAUGCGCAGAUAUCAGGAGGAACACCGAUGGCGAAGGCAGGUCUCUGGGCCGAUACUGACGCUGAGGAGCGAAAGCGUGGGGAGCGAACAGG
rnacentral:rRNA from 1 species